GAUGAACGCUGGCGGCGUGCCUAAUACAUGCAAGUCGAGCGAAUGGAUUAAGAGCUUGCUCUUAUGAAGUUAGCGGCGGACGGGUGAGUAACACGUGGGUAACCUGCCCAUAAGACUGGGAUAACUCCGGGAAACCGGGGCUAAUACCGGAUAACAUUUUGAACCGCAUGGUUCGAAAUUGAAAGGCGGCUUCGGCUGUCACUUAUGGAUGGACCCGCGUCGCAUUAGCUAGUUGGUGAGGUAACGGCUCACCAAGGCAACGAUGCGUAGCCGACCGGAGGGGGUGGUCGGCCACACUGGGACUGAGACACGGCCCAGACUCCUACGGGAGGCAGCAGUAGGGAAUCUUCCGCAAUGGACGAAAGUCUGACGGAGCAACGCCGCGUGAGUGAUGAAGGCUUUCGGGUCGUAAAGCUCUGUUGUUAGGGAAGAACAAGUGCUAGUUGAAUAAGCUGGCACCUUGACGGUACCUAACCAGAAAGCCACGGCUAACUACGUGCCAGCCGCCGCCGUAA
rnacentral:rRNA from 1 species